CUAGGCCCUUUCCAGGGAGUCUUUAAACACAAGCUUAUUUUGGAGGGAAAGGGACAGGUAACAAAAAACCUGCUACAACGGUACUCACAUUAAACAGUUUGCUUUGAUGCCAAAAUAACGUUUAUUGUUAUCUGAGGCCAGCUGCCUGCCUUCUCUCUAGGAUUCUAUUUGUGAAGUUUCUACGUCUAUAAAUGGAAGCACUGGCUAACCAGAAAUUAUCACCAGCACUGCCUGUUACAGCUCUGUCUCACAACUUGAAAAGUACAGUGAUAUCUAAUAUGUAGUCAGAUUAAAACACUUCUACCCAGGAUCUGAGGCUCUUUUUCUGGGACAUGGAGUUAGAAAAGCAUGAAAAAGAAAUCUCAGCAAAACACACCAUAGAGGAGAAGCUGACGCUGCAUCCUACACGUGGUCAGCAAUUUGGAAAAAGAGACAUACAAGUCACCAGUCCACUGAGUUUCCUUAGCACAGAACCGGUCCCCUCUGGAGAAUCCGGAACUAGACCUUUGACCUUCACAUUUGUUCCAUCUAUCGGACAACUUCCAACUCACUUUCAAGUUGUAGAUGUCUGUGAACUGGUGAGAACUUCAGAGGAGCCAAACAAUGAAAGCAGUCAAGAAAUUAUCAAUAGGUCUACCGUAGGCUCUGAUGACCUGGCCUUAAAAAGUGGAAUCAGGCAAGACAGUGAAUCCACCUAUCACACAGGCACCAGCCAAAAGAUUUUCCAGCCGAAAGGGUAUAAGAUGAGCAAAGGAGAAAUGCAGGAGAGUGACCUUUUCAAGGCUGAGUUUGUCUUUAUUACGGACUCUGAUGAAGGAGAUGAAGAGACCGUUUGCAGAAACAAUGUUCAGCAGCCUUCUGUAGGUCAUGGCACUGGGCAUGCGAGAUGCCAGUUAUUGGCUACCUCCCAUAUUUCUUCUGGUGGUGAGUCAAGCAAACCUCAUGGUGACCUGAAUGUUCCUGAGACACAAUGUGCUGCACUGUCGCACAGUACUACCCAUUCCCCAAAACAACGCCAGUUAACUUCUCCUUCUACUUUUGAUCAUCUUUUUCAUAAACCACCUGCUGCCUGCUUAAUUUCUCCAACUAAACUGAAAGUAGAAUGUGACAUUGUUAAUCCGAAACAAGUCUCUUCUCUGGAAGAAUCCUAUAGCAAGUGGCAGUCUGCAGCUAGGCCUUCUAAACAAGAUUCAUCUACAUGUUUCCAGGCUACUGCUCACAUUUCACCUCUUUACAUGCCCCAGAGAUCACCAUCUGUAUUAAACAGCCCUUCUUCCAGUACUCAAUUCUCCAAUAACCUUCAAAUGCCAAAUAUUGUUACGCCUAACUAUGUUUACAAAAUGUCUGAAUUCACAGCAUCAUCUGUUCCAAGCAAGAGUCCAGCUCCAGUUUCAUAUUUUCCCAAUUCAGCAGGAACGCCAGGUUCUCCAGAUCAGCCUGUAUCUCCCUGUUCUUCUAAGCGAUUUAACACAUUUUUUGCCACCCCUGUCCAUAUCACAGCACAUUCAUUAUCACCUAGUCCUAAACCACUCUCCUCCCCAUUUUUUGGUUCCUCCUCAACCAUAUGCAGUAUAAAUGAGCCUUGUAGCAGGAUGUCCUCUAGUGGAAAUCUGCUAAAGUCAGGAAUUAGAUCCCCUCUGCCAACCAGACUCUCUCUUUUAACUGCUAUUCUGAAGUCAGGCCCAUCUCAGCAAAGACCACUCUCCCCUGCAUCCUGUCCUCCUACCUUUUCUCCUAACUCCCUUCGCUCCUCAACUCUCACAAUAGAUCAAAAGUUUAAAACAAGUCCCCCUACUCCUAAGAAAUCUGCCUCAAGCUUUUCUAUUAGGUCACACUCUCCAAGUCAAGAGGAACAUUGGCCUUUACUAUUUUCUCACUCGCCCAUUCCUGUGCCUUUGUCUUCAAAGCCUAUUUCUACUCCUCGGGCUAGAUCCCUUUCCCCUAAAAAGCACCUUCAUGCCAGAACACUUUCUCCUGAUUCAUUAUAUCCUCUAUCAUCCACCAUUUCUUCUUAUAGGAAAAGAGUUGUAUCCCCCCUGUUACAACCUAAAUCAUCUUCAGUGCUGCCUCCUGUCCCAAAACACUCCUCUUCCCUGAAUCCUGCAAUUUCUCCUACAAAACUGUUGCCUUACCCUGUCCACAAAACUCAAAGGCCUGAAAAGUCUAGGAGAGUCCACACCUACUCACCCACUUUCACUUGUAAAUCAUACCCUUUGUCCUCUCCUGCCAAUGAAAAAGGCACAUUCUCCCCUAUCCUAGAAAAAUGUUUCUCUUCUUCUCCAAAUCUUUUGCACCCAACCUAUAAAUCAAAAGCAGGUUCAUCUCAGCUGUCUGCUCAGGAAUUGAAUCCUGUCUCCCCUACCCCUUCAAAUGUCUCAACUCAUUGGUCUUCCUCACCUCCUAAUUCUACAUCGCCUAUUUGGCCACUCUAUAAUGUUCAUUCCCACUCACCACAACUUAAUUCCUCCUCACUGCACCCAAAACAUAGAGUUUAUUCCUCAGCUGCAAGACCUAAGCAGUUGCCCACUAUAUCAGUACCACCAUGUAGAUCUCCUGUCCCAGGCCAGUCACCUUGUACACCGUUGUCAAGAUCCAGGGAGCUGAGUUCACCAAAGUGUUUUUCCCGGCCUCCUGAUCAUGAAAGCCUGAAACCCAAGCAAUACAAGAUCAAGACAAGCUACAAGGCUUUGGCAGCAAUCCCUACAAACACCUUGCUUAUGGAGCAGAAGGCAUUAGAAGAGCCAAUUAAAACAGAAAAAGUGACUGAAGACACUACUUUGGACACACAUUCGGAGUUGUUGCUUUUACUUUUCCAGAUGUGCUCCCCUGCCCAGCUCAGGCAAAAAACUGAAGAACUCUGUGCUGCCAUCGAUCAAGUCCUACAGGAUCCCUUGCCUAUGCGCCGGUGUGAAUCUUCUCCAUCUUCCCUGCACACAUCAGUGGAUUCAGAUGUAGGCAAAAUGUCUGCAACACUGCAGAGAGCAGCUGGACGGGAAACCAGAUAUGCUAACCUUUACUUACCAACGCCUUCAGUGACAGAGAGUCAACUGACAAAGCCUGGUGUUAUUCGUCCAGGGCCGGUGAAAACAAAAAUCUUAUUAAAAACGGAGGAGCCCAAUCAACCAAACCCGUUCAAAAAAUACCUUGAAGAAACCAGAGAUCCAGAUAUUGAGCAGACACCACCACCACCAAACAACUGAAACACUGGCCAGAGGGGGAAGUCUGACUGAAAAGUAACCAGCCAGCCUGUGACAUCUGCACUACCUCCUUCCCUUUCCUGUCACGCCUCCCUGUUUGACAAUGAGCACUGGUGAUUACAUGGGUGACACUCAGUUUGAGACCUAGUGAUGCAGCCAGCUGUAUUUGGUGAUCUUCAGCUACACCACUUCCUGUGUGGAUCUCAUAAUAUGCAUGACAGAGAGUAGUUUUUCACUUAUAAUGGGACAGGCAUAUGGAAAAUAUCUUUGUUCUUACAACAAAAAUAUUAAAAUUUGCUUCUAAGUUCAGCAUUUUUCAUGCA